UACCAGACUCCUACGGGAGGCAGCAGUGGGGAAUAUUGCACAAUGGGGGAAACCCUGAUGCAGCGACGCCGCGUGAGUGAAGAAGUAUUUCGGUAUGUAAAGCUCUAUCAGCAGGGAAGAAAUAACGACCUUUGGGUCGCCAGACGGUACCUGAUUAAGAAGCCCCGGCUAACUACGUGCCAGCAGCCGCGGUAAUACGUAGGGGGCAAGCGUUAUCCGGAUUUACUGGGUGUAAAGGGAGCGUAGACGGCAGCGCAAGUCUGAAGUGAAAUGCCGGGGCCCAACCCCGGGACUGCUCUGGAAACUAUUUAACUUAAGUGCAGGAGAGGUAAGCGGAAUUCCUAGUGUAGCGGUGAAAUGCGUAGAUAUUAGGAGGAACACCAGUGGCGAAGGCGGCUUACUGGACUGUAACUGACGUUGAGGCUCGAAAGCGUGGGGAGCAAACGGGAUUAGAUACCCUCGUA
rnacentral:rRNA from 1 species